AGCUUUGCACAGUGGCAGUAUUGUAGCCAAUGAGGUUUAUCCGAGGUGCGAUUAUUGCUAACUGAAACGUGAGCUGAGCACCAGCAUUCUGUCUUUCUCCCUCGUCAUGGGAUGCAGAGUGACCAGCUGCCUUACUCCCCUGUGC